rnacentral:rRNA from 1 species
AGAGUUUGAUCCUGGCUCAGGAUGAACGCUGGCGGCGUGCUUAACACAUGCAAGUCGAGCGAAGCACUCGGCCUUGAAUCUUCGGAGGAAAGGCGGUUUGACUGAGCGGCGGACGGGUGAGUAACGCGUGGGCAACCUGCCCCAUACGGGGGGAUAACAGUUAGAAAUGACUGCUAAUACCGCAUAAGACCGCGGUGCCGCAUGGCACAGCGGUAAAAACUCCGGUGGUAUGGGAUGGGCCCGCGUCUGAUUAGCUAGUUGGCGGGGUAACGGCCCACCAAGGCGACGAUCAGUAGCCGACCUGAGAGGGCGACCGGCCACAUUGGGACUGAGACACGGCCCAAACUCCUACGGGAGGCAGCAGUGGGGAAUAUUGCACAAUGGGGGAAACCCUGAUGCAGCGACGCCGCGUGAGCGAUGAAGUAUUUCGGUAUGUAAAGCUCUAUCAGCAGGGAAGAAGAUGACGGUACCUGACUAAGAAGCCCCGGCUAACUACGUGCCAGCAGCCGCGGUAAUACGUAGGGGGCAAGCGUUAUCCGGAUUUACUGGGUGUAAAGGGAGCGUAGACGGCGAUGCAAGCCAGAUGUGAAAGCCCGGGGCUCAACCCCGGGACUGCAUUUGGAACUGUGUGGCUGGAGUGUCGGAGAGGCAGGCGGAAUUCCUAGUGUAGCGGUGGAAUGCGUAGAUAUAUGGAAGAACACCAGUGGCGAAGGCGGCUCUCUGGUCUGCAACUGACGCUGAGGCUCGAAAGCAUGGGUAGCGAACAGGAUUAGAUACCCUGGUAGUCCAUGCCGUAAACGAUGAGUGCUAAGUGUUGGGAGGUUUCCGCCUCUCAGUGCUGCAGCUAACGCAUUAAGCACUCCGCCUGGGGAGUACGACCGCAAGGUUGAAACUCAAAGGAAUUGACGGGGGCCCGCACAAGCGGUGGAGCAUGUGGUUUAAUUCGAAGCAACGCGAAGAACCUUACCAGGUCUUGACAUCCAGUGCAAACCUAAGAGAUUAGGUGUUCCCUUCGGGGACGCUGAGACAGGUGGUGCAUGGCUGUCGUCAGCUCGUGUCGUGAGAUGUUGGGUUAAGUCCCGCAACGAGCGCAACCCUUGUCAUUAGUUGCCAUCAUUAAGUUGGGCACUCUAAUGAGACUGCCGGUGACAAACCGGAGGAAGGUGGGGAUGACGUCAAGUCAUCAUGCCCCUUAUGACCUGGGCUACACACGUGCUACAAUGGACGGUACAACGAGAAGCGAACCUGCGAAGGCAAGCGGAUCUCUUAAAGCUGUUCUCAGUUCGGACUGUAGGCUGCAACUCGCCUACACGAAGCUGGAAUCGCUAGUAAUCGCGGAUCAGCACGCCGCGGUGAAUACGUUCCCGGGCCUUGUACUCACCGCCCGUCA